rnacentral:lncRNA from 1 species
AACACGAUUACUGGUCCACCUAGAAAUGCCGUGGAGCGAUUUAAGAGCCUCGGAAAUUUCCUUUAAGGUCAGGAGAGAAGCUGGUAACAGAUGGGGCGAAGGAGGAAAAGUUCUUUUUGCGGCACCCUCACGCCUUCCCAGCCCUUUCGCGGUUUACUCGCUCCCCGGAAAGCAGACUAGUCUCACUCUGUUGCCCAGGCUGGAGUGCAGUGGCGCGAUCUCAGCUUACUUCAGCCUCCGCCUCCCGGUUUCAAGUGAAUUCUCCAGCCUCAACUUCACAAGUAGCUGGGAUUACAGGGCAUUCAAGCAGCCCUGAGGAGAGGUCCACAUGGUGAGCCACUGAGGGCCUUGCCAAGAGCCAGCACCAACGGUCCAGGUUUGGAGUGUACCACCUUGGAAGUGAAUCUUCCAGUCCAGUCAAGCCUUCAGAUGACUUCAGAACCGUCCAUGUAAGCCACUCUUGGAUUCCUGACCCACAGAAACUGUUGGAGUAAGUGAUGUUUCUGAAGCACCAAUGAAAAUGAAGUCCUGAAGUCCUGUGCUCAAUAUGAAAUGUUGGAAGUUAGAAGAAAAAAACAAAACUUGGAUCCAAUCUCAAGGCACUUUUUGUUUAAUGGGAAGAAGUGGAUUAUUUUAAAAGCUACAAAUAAAGUUACAUAAAAGU